rnacentral:rRNA from 1 species
GACGAACGCUGGCGGCGUGCUUAACACAUGCAAGUCGAACGGAAAGGCCCUGCUUUUGUGGGGUGCUCGAGUGGCGAACGGGUGAGUAACACGUGAGUAACCUGCCCUUGACUUUGGGAUAACUUCAGGAAACUGGGGCUAAUACCGGAUAGGAGCUCCCGCUGCAUGGUGGGGGGUGGAAAGUUUCGGCGGUUGGGGAUGGACUCGCGGCUUAUCAGCUUGUUGGUGGGGUAGUGGCUUACCAAGGCUUUGACGGGUAGCCGGCCUGGGAGGGGGACCGGCCACAUUGGGACUGAGAUACGGCCCAGACUCCAACGGGAGGCAGCGGUGGGGAAUAUUGCACAGUGGGCGGAGCCCUGAUGCGGCAACGCCGCGUGCGGGAUGACGGCCUUCGGGUUGUAACCCGCUUUCGCCUGUGACGAAGCGUGAGUGACGGUAAUGGGUAAAGAAGCACCGGCUAACUACGUG